AGUGAACGCUGGCGGUAGACCUAACACAUGCAAGUCGAACGGCAGCACAGUAAGAGCUUGCUCUUACGGGUGGCGAGUGGCGGACGGGUGAGGAAUACAUCGGAAUCUACUUUUUCGUGGGGGAUAACGUAGGGAAACUUACGCUAAUACCGCAUACGACCUACGGGUGAAAGCAGGGGAUCUUCGGACCUUGCGCGAUUGAAUGAGCCGAUGUCGGAUUAGCUAGUUGGCGGGGUAAAGGCCCACCAAGGCGACGAUCCGUAGCUGGUCUGAGAGGAUGAUCAGCCACACUGGAACUGAGACACGGUCCAGACUCCUACGGGAGGCAGCAGUGGGGAAUAUUGGACAAUGGGCGCAAGCCUGAUCGAGCAAUACCGCGUGAGUGAAGAAGGCCUUCGGGUUGUAAAGCCCUUUUGUUAGGAAAGAAAAGCAGCAGGUUAAUACCCCGAUGUCCUGACGGUACCCAAAGAAUAAGCACCGGCUAACUUCGUG
rnacentral:rRNA from 1 species